rnacentral:rRNA from 1 species
UUACCUGGUCUUGACAUCCCUCUGACCGCUCUUAAUCGGAGCUUUCCUUCGGGACAGAGGAGACAGNUGGUGCAUGGUUGUCGUCAGCUCGUGUCGUGAGAUGUUGGGUUAAGUCCCGCAACGAGCGCAACCCCUAUCUUUAGUAGCCAGCAUUUAAGGUGGGCACUCUAGAGAGACUGCCAGGGAUAACCUGGAGGAAGGUGGGGAUGACGUCAAAUCAUCAUGCCCCUUAUGACCAGGGCUACACACGUGCUACAAUGGCGUAAACAAAGGGAAGCGAGCCCGCGAGGGGGAGCAAAUCCCAAAAAUAACGUCUCAGUUCGGAUUGUAGUCUGCAACUCGACUACAUGAAGCUGGAAUCGCUAGUAAUCGCGAAUCAGAAUGUCGCGGUGAAUACGUUCCCGGGUCUUGUACACACCGCCCGUCACACCAUGGGAGUCAGUAACGCCCGAAGUCAGUGACCCAACCGCAGGAGGGAGCUGCCGAAGGUGGACCGAUACUGGGGUGAAGU